GACGAACGCUGGCGGUGUGCUUAACACAUGCAAGUCGAACGAUGAAGCCGGAGCUUGCUCUGGUGAAUUAGUGGCGAACGGGUGAGUAACACGUGAGUAACCUGCCCUUGACUCUGGGAUAACUGCUAGAAAUGGUAGCUAAUACCGGAUACGACCCUCGGCGGCAUCGCCAGGGGGUGGAAAGAAUUUCGGUCAAGGAUGGACUCGCGGCCUAUCAGCUAGUUGGUGAGGUAACGGCUCACCAAGGCGACGACGGGUAGCCGGCCUGAGAGGGUGACCGGCCACACUGGGACUGAGACACGGCCCAGACUCCUACGGGAGGCAGCAGUGGGGAAUAUUGCACAAUGGGCGCAAGCCUGAUGCAGCAACGCCGCGUGAGGGAUGACGGCCUUCGGGUUGUAAACCUCUUUUAGUAGGGAAGAAGCGAAAGUGACGGUACCUGCAGAAAAGGCACCGGCUAACUACGUGCCAGCAGCCGCAGUAA
rnacentral:rRNA from 1 species